ACAGAAUCAUCCUGACACUGUGCCUUCUCCCAAGCCAUAUCUGAAUCUAAACCUCCUCCUUUUCUUUCUCCCUCAUCCCUAGACCUCCCCAGGGCUCCAUCCAGUUUAGUCAUUUCCAGCAUCAAUCCUCGCUCAGCCACUCUUCAGUUCCGACCAUGCUACGAUGGGAAGACAUCCAUCUGCAGUGGAUUGUGGAGGGGGCAGGCCUGUUUGAGUCAUUGAAUGUAUGGACUGAAUUCAAGUGUAAGGCUUUGUUCGACGUAAACAGGAUGAUGAGGGGCCUCUCCAUCUGCACCACCUGCCUCCUGAGCAUCAUCUAGGCCAUCACCAUCAGUCCUAGCACCUCCUGGUGAAGUAACACAGAAAGAAAAUGACAGAGAAGGAGAGUGUGAGAGAGAGGACUAAAUGCCCAGAAGCUGGGAUUGAGCCAAGCUGAAGUGAAAAGCCAGGAACUCCAUCUGAGUAUCCAAUGUGAGUAUCAGAGACCAAAGUACUUGAGUCCUCAUCUUCCACCUAACAGGGUGUGCAUUAGUAAGAAGCUGGGUAGGAAGCAAAGUAGGACUUGGUCUAAAAGCACGCCAAAUAGAAUGCGAGGGGCCCAAGCAGUGGUUUAACCUAUGCGCCCUGAUAUUUUAUUCAUUUAAAAUACUAUAUGCUUACAUAUAAAUAUAUGUAAAUGGGA